rnacentral:rRNA from 1 species
UACGGAAGGGGCAAGCGUUGUUCGGAAUCAUUGGGCGUAAAGGGCGCGUAGGUGGUUCUGUAUGUCUACCGUGAAAGCAUACAGCUCAACUGUAUUUUGUCGGUAGAAACUGCAGUACUUGAGGCUGGGAGGGGCUGGUGGAAUUCCCUGUGUAGCGGUGAAAUGCGUAGAGAUGGGGGAGAACACUCGUGGCGAAGGCGGCCAGCUAGACCAGUUCUGACACUGAGGCGCGACAGCGUGGGGAGCAAACAGG